rnacentral:rRNA from 1 species
GACGAACGCUGGCGGCGUGCUUAACACAUGCAAGUCGAGCGAUGAAGCUUCUCCGGAAGUGGAUUAGCGGCGGACGGGUGAGUAACACGUGGGUAACCUGCCUCAUAGAGGGGAAUAGCCUUCCGAAAGGAAGAUUAAUACCGCAUAAGAUUGUAGCUUCGCAUGCAGCAGCAAUUAAAGGAGCAAUCCGCUAUGAGAUGGACCCGCGUCGCAUUAGCGAGUUGGUGAGGUAACGGCUCACCCAGGCGACGAUGCGUAGCCGACCUGAGAGGGUGAUCGGCCACAUUGGGACUGAGACACGGCCCAGACUCCUACGGGAGGCAGCAGUGGGGAAUAUUGCACAAUGGGGGAAACCCUGAUGCAGCAACGCCGCGUGAGUGAUGACGGUCUUCGGAUUGUAAAGCUCUGUCUUUAGGGACGAUAAUGACGGUACCUAAGGAGGAAGCCACGGCUAACUACGUGCCAGCAGCCGCCGUAA